rnacentral:rRNA from 1 species
UACGGGGGGGCGAAGCGUUGUUCGGAAUUACUGGGCGUAAAGGGCUCGUAGGCGGCCAACGUAAGUCAGACGUGAAAUCCCCAGGCUCAACCUGGGAACUGCGUCUGAUACUGGAUGGCUUGAAUCCGGGAGAGGGAUGCAGAAUUCCAGGUGGUAGCGGUGAAAUGCGUAGAUAUCUGGAGGAAUACCGGUGGCGAAGGCGGCAUCCUGGACCGGCAUGACGCUGAGGAGCGAAAAGCUA